AAAUGAAUUGACGGGGGCCCGCACAAGCAGUGGAUUAUGUGGUUUAAUUCGAAGCAACGCGAAGAACCUUACCAAGGUUUGACAUCCCGAUGACCGGUCUAGAGAUAGAUCUUUCUCUUCGGAGACAUCGGUGACAGGUGGUGCAUGGUUGUCGUCAGCUCGUGUCGUGAGAUGUUGGGUUAAGUCCCGCAACGAGCGCAACCCUUAUUGCUAGUUGCUACGCAAGAGCACUCUAGCGAGACUGCCGUUGACAAAACGGAGGAAGGUGGGGACGACGUCAAAUCAUCAUGCCCCUUAUAUCUUGGGCUACACACGUAAUACAAUGGCACUCAACAAAGGGAAGCAAAGCCGCGAGGUGGAGCAAAUCCUCAAAAAGUGUCCCAGUUCGGACUGCAGUCUGCAACUCGACUGCACGAAGUCGGAAUUGCUAGUAAUCGCGGAUCAGCAUGCCGCGGUGAAUACGUUCCCGGGCCUUGUACACACCGCCCGU
rnacentral:rRNA from 1 species